UGAGGAAUCUUGCGCAAUGGGGGAAACCCUGACGCAGCAACGCCGCGUGAGUGAGGAAGGUCUUCGGAUCGUAAAGCUCUGUCAGUUGGAAAGAAAUGUCUGAGAGUCAAUCCCUUUCAGGCUUGACGGUACCAACAGAGGAAGCACCGGCUAACUCCGUGCCAGCAGCCGCGGUAAUACGGGGGGUGCAAGCGUUGUUCGGAAUUAUUGGGCGUAAAGAGCGUGUAGGCGGCCGGAUAUGUCAGAUGUGAAAGCCCCGGGCUUAACCCGGGAAGUGCAUUUGAAACUGUCCGGCUCGAGUAGGGGAGAGGGAAGUGGAAUUCCUGGUGUAGAGGUGAAAUUCGUAGAUAUCAGGAGGAACACCGGUGGCGAAGGCGACUUCCUGGCCCUAUACUGACGC
rnacentral:rRNA from 1 species